UACAUGAGCAAAAUACAUAUUCCUGCAGAGAGACACACACACACACACACACACACACACACACACACACACACACACACACACACACACACACACACACACACACACACACACACACACACACACACACACACACACACACACACACACACACACAUCACGUUAGUACAAUCCGGGAGUACCUACUGUAAAAUAACACUCUGCAGGAGAUAAUCAGAAAUCAGAUGUCAGACUGGAGAUCACAGCCCUGUGUUGUUACAUAUCUGAUCAUCAUCUGGCAAUGUUCUGGCAAAGAGAUUUGCAGAGUGUCGGGUGAAGACGACGGGAGGGGUCGCAGUGGCAGCAAGGACUGGAGGAUAACAUGCAGGAGAUCUUGUCUCCAUUGUAGGAUGAUGUUCAUUACAAACCAGGAGAUUGGGUCUAUACUAAGCGGCAUGUCAAGAAAGCACUAGAACCACGCUUUGAUGGUCCAUUCCAGGGUCUGCUAAUAACCCCUACAGCAGUCAAGCUUGAGCUAAAAGACACCUGAAUACACGCCUCGUAAAGCUGGCUGUGAAGAUCAAGUCACCAUGAAUCCUUUUUACGUGUUAAUAACAAUACUUAGUUCAGAGAUAUUAAAGAACAGGUGACACCAGGGGGCAAAUGAUGUUCUCAAAAGAGGUUCAAGGUAUUAUCAAUGCCAUUAACAAGACGAUAAAACAUGAACUACAUCUAGAGAGAGUAAACUAUUCAGCUCGUCACGUUCAGAUGUAAACAAUUAUAGAAGCAGCAAAAUUUGCAGAAAUAGCAGCAGAAUAAAAGGGAAAACGUACAGCAUCAUUGGUGGGAUAUAUUUACAGGUAAAUCUCCAUCAUUCUCUAAAGCAUAUAACAUUCUGAUACAUCCAGUGAUAGGGAUAAUAGUACUAUUGAUUCUGCUCAUCCUUUGGAACUGUUAUCUAUCCUGUAGUUUCAGAAAAAUGAUUACUAGAAGUAUGACCCCAGUAAAAGCGCUUGUUGUGAGCACAAAGGAAGAAACAUGUAGCAAAUGCAAAAGACCUAACAUAGGAAACAGAAGUACAUGUAUGUAUUGCUCACAUCCCCUAAUGGUUUAAGUAGAAAUAGUAUUGUCAUAGUUUAAUCGGAGUAUGGGUUCCGAAUGAUCGGUUGACAUCCAUCCAUAUGUGGUUCUUAUGAUAACAUAUGAGGUGAUAUAAGGUAUCAGAAGUGCUCAGGUUAUUACUAUUACAAUAUGUGUAAGGCAGGAUAAGAGUAAGAUUUUAAUCAAAAGAGGGGUUUGUGAGAGUAAUAUUGAUUAAAAUGCUUUUGCUGUAUUAUUGUUUCACUAUAUUCUAAAGACUGUAUAUAUGUCCCUUUACAUAUAUUAUAAGGUCAUCGUUGCUUGUAUUGUAUGUGUGAGACAACAGGUGGUUUCCUUAAAAUACUUUACAAGAUAAGAAUGUGAAGCCAAGAGACAGAGAAUAACAGAAAUAGAGAUCUUCAGCAAUCGCUCAUUCUUUGACAAGACAGACUCCAGGAAUACUUUGGGACUGUCUUCUGAAUAUUACCUUCUAUGUCACUGAAACUUGUAAUAUAUAUAUGAUUAGCUAACUUUAUACUUCACUGUGAUUGGAGGGCAUGAAAAAGCCCAGUUCUCUUUUGGUAUAAAUAAAGGCUCUCUCUGUCACAGGACAGAGCAGUGUUAUACUGGCA